GAUGAAGAACGUAGCGAAAUGCGAUAAGUAAUGUGAAUUGCAGAAUUCAGUGAAUCAUCGAAUCUUUGAACGCACCUUGCGCUCCUUGGUAUUCCGAGGAGCAUGCCUGUUUGAGUGUCAUGAAAUUCUCAACCUUUUCAGCUUUCUUUGUUGAUCAGGCUUGGAUGUGGGAGUAUGCGGGCUUCUCAGAAGUCGGCUCUCCUGAAAUGCAUUAGCGGGACCUUUGUUGCCUGGCUUUGGUGUGAUAAUUAUCUACGCCAUUGUAGUCAAGCAGCUUAAAAUGAGGUUUCAGCUUCUAACCGCCUCCCCUGAGACAACUUUUUGACAAUUUGACCUCAAAUCAGGUAGGACUACCCGCUGAACUUAAGCAUAUCAAUAAGCGGAGGA
rnacentral:misc_RNA from 1 species